UGUUAGGUGUGGGGGGAGAGGGGAUCCAUUUGUAUGUCCCCACCAUUAUCCACCCACCCAAGAGAGGCAAAUCAGAAUGGAGAUACGUUGUUUUACUCUGAUGCUUCAGUGUUCCUAAGAAAGUGCUACCAUUUUCAAGGAGAUUCAUGGAAAGGAUUUUGACAAGUAAAAUCUGAUGGCCAGUCCCUUGGAAGCUUUUCACAGUUCGAGAUUCCUUAUGAAAAGUUUCGGCAAAGCAGUGUUCAAAAAAAGCUCAUAUGUGAAAUCUACUGAAAAGAACCCACACCAAAUUUAUUCUGCAAAGAUUCCCACCCUCUCCUUAGCUCAAAGAGGCAUCAUGUUGCUCAACUGUCUUUGGAACUCCAUGGCUAUGUGAACUGCCAAAUGUACACCAUGAAAUGUUACUGCCUCCUGUUAAUCUGUCUCAUGUCAACUUGGUUCUUGGUCCAUCCAGAGGGACCUUGAAGGGCAAAAUAAAUUGUUCCUUCUCAACACAA